GGGAAGCAGGCAUGUGGAUGAGUGGGGGAGACGCCAAACUCAUCAAUUAACCCUCUUUCAAAUUAUUUGUAAAGCAAAAUAAAAAGGGAAGAACCAGUUACUCCCCCCAGUCUUUUUUCCUCGCUCUUUUUCUUUUUUCUUUUUUUAUUAUUAUUUCACUUCUUUCAUUUUGCUUCGUACAGUAAUGCAUUUUGUUGUUUUUGGGCGACCGAAAGGAAAAC
rnacentral:lncRNA from 1 species